rnacentral:tRNA from 3 species
AAAUAUGAAGCGAUUAAUUGCAAUUAGUUUCGACCUAAUUUUAGAUAUUUUUAUUAUCCAUAUUUU